AACUGCUCAUUCAGAUAAUUGGUAUUUGCGCCUGUCCGAUCGGGCAAUGGCGCGAAGCUAUCAUCUGCUAGAUUAUGGCUGAACGCCUCUAAGUCAGAAUCUGUGCCAGAAACGAUGAUGUUGGUCCCGCACAUGUUAGUUGUGUUUAAAUAGAGCUUCGGCUUGUGAACCAUAAAUGUUGGCUUAGUAGCUUGGACGGAAAGGUCCUUGUUGCUCGCUGAUGAAUUGAAAUUUAGAUAUGGGCGGGGGUGAAUCCUUUGCAGACGA
rnacentral:rRNA from 1 species